rnacentral:rRNA from 1 species
UACGAAGGGUGCAAGCGUUGUCCGGAAUUAUUGGGCGUAAAGAGCGUGUAGGCGGCCCGAUUAGUCCGCUGUGAAAGUCCAGGGCUCAACCCUGGAAUGCCGGUGGAUACUGUCGGGCUAGAGUCCGGAAGGGGCGAGUGGAAUUCCUGGUGUAGCGGUGAAAUGCGCAGAUAUCAGGAGGAACACCAAUGGCGAAGGCAGCUCGCUGGGACGUGACUGACGCUGAGACGCGAAAGCGUGGGGAGCAAACAGG